rnacentral:rRNA from 1 species
UACGUAGGGUGCAAGCGUUGUCCGGAAUUAUUGGGCGUAAAGAGCUCGUAGGCGGUUUGUCGCGUCUGCCGUGAAAGUCCGGGGCUUAACUCCGGAUCUGCGGUGGGUACGGGCAGACUAGAGUGCAGUAGGGGAGACUGGAAUUCCUGGUGUAGCGGUGAAAUGCGCAGAUAUCAGGAGGAACACCGAUGGCGAAGGCAGGUCUCUGGGCUGUAACUGACGCUGAGGAGCGAAAGCAUGGGGAGCGAACAGG